rnacentral:tRNA from 1 species
GCCUGGGUGGCUCAGUUGGUUGAGCAUCUGACUUCAGCUCAGGUCAUGAUCUCACGGUUUGUGGGUUCGAGCCCCGCGUCAGGCU